rnacentral:misc_RNA from 1 species
AAAACCAAAAAAAAAAAAGACAAAAAAGUGAUUAACAAGUUAGGGAAAAAAGAUUAUACUUGAUUGUUGCGUGUCAUCCUGGCAUAGAAACGUCAGUAUAAAAUUAAAACGAUACUAGUAAAGAUCACUGUUCGAGUUUUCUACCAAAGAGUUCUUGUUCUCUUGAAAGAAGUAGAAGGUGGCUUCAUUUGUGGGACAGCAAAUGAAUUGUCAUCUGUCCACUUUCUACUGGACUUGAUAUUAGUAACUUCUCUUGAUUCUUUUAGACCAAUUUGCCCACCAAAGUUCAAAUUUUGUGAAGGGAAAAAUUGGAUCUGAGUCUCUUGCUUUGACUCUUGAAGAGGAGGGGCUUGAGGGACCCAAAUACCAACAUUUUGUGGUGGAAAUGAACUAAAUUGACUCUCAAGAUCAGUAUCCCAAAAUGACAACAUAUCCUCAUCACCAAUAUUCUUGGAGUAAACAUUAGGAGUUGAACAAUCAAGAAAAUCUUCAACAUGCCAACCAGGCAACAUCUCUAAAUACUCUGAUAUACUACUUGUUAAGUUAUUUCCCCCUCCAUUCACAAAUUGCACAUUAUUAUUACAUCCACCAACUUUCUCUUUAACAACUUUCACUGAUUCCACAGCGGAUGAUACUGCUCCUCCCUUAGUACUGUUGCUAAUAAUCGCGGGAGAAACAAACACAGAACCAGCAACAGGCUUACUAGUGGAAUCCUUAGACUUCAAAUUUGAAACACACGAAUCCGCGGAGGAGAUUGCUGAUUGUGAUUGUGAUUGUGAUUGU